rnacentral:SRP_RNA from 10 species
GCUGGGUGUGGUGGCGCGUGCCUGUUGUCCCAGCUACUUGGGAGGCUGAGGCAGGAGGACCACUUGAGCCCAGGAGUUCUGGGCAGUAGUGCGCUGUGCCGAUCUGGUGUCUGCAUUAACUUUGGCAUCGAUAUAGUGACCUCCCAGGAGCAGAAGACCAGCAGGUUGCCUAAGGAGGGGUGAACCAGCCCCAGUCAGAAACAGAGCAGAUCAAAACUCCUGUACUGAUCAGUAGUGGGAUCACGCCUGUGAAUAGCCUGGGUAACAUAGCCACGUCCCAUCUCU